AUGACAAAGAAAAGAAAGGAACAAUGAUCGUGCCAAAAAGGGCUGUGGCCAGUAGUGGCACAUACUAUGUCCGAUGCAUGCCCAAGGAAAAGACCAUUAAGAAGCUCGUCGUGCAAAACAUAGUAGAGGCCGCAGCAGUCAGGGACAUUACUGCAGUGAGCAACUUUGCCUCCUAUGUUCUUCCCAAGCUGUAUGCGAAGCUACAUUAAGGUGUGAGUUGUGCCAUUCACAGCAAGGCAGUCAGUAAUCCAUCUUGUGAAUCCCACAAGGACCAAAUACCCCAAUCUGAUUUAAACCUGUGGGUGCUGCCUCAUGACCCUCACCAAAGCCCAUGUAA
rnacentral:lncRNA from 1 species